rnacentral:lncRNA from 1 species
CAGUUGAAAGAUCUAUUUCUCAUAAUAUAACACAGUUUGGAAAGCUAGUAGUCAUUUUGAUAAAUGACCAUGUUGCCCAUUUCCCUACUUUGCCUCCACCUACUGGACACCCUGCCAGACCUACCUAAUUAUGUCAACAUUGUGGACGCUUGCAUAGUGAUCAACCUUGUUGGCGUUUGAACAACACCUUCUAUUAGUGCGGAAGCACUCAACACUUU